rnacentral:rRNA from 1 species
GGUUGACCUCGGAUCAGGGUAGGGAUACC